CCAUUAUGCUAUUCCAUUAUCUAAUAUGGCAUUUAAAUGUACAAUACUGGUCACUGGAAACAACUGACUAUUAUAAAAAUUUUAUUUAACUAUUUAGCCAGGAUGACCCUCAAAGUAAAAAAUAAAUAAAUAAAAAUAAAUCAAUUAGGACUAUAUCCACAAUCGCUACAAAAAAAUGGACUACAAAAUACCAAGAAAGCUAAUCACCAUCCAAGAUAAAAGAAAUUCAAUCUACACACAUUUUUCCCCCAGAAGGUGGAGCUCAUGUUUAAGUUAUUUUAAAACAGAGCACAGGCAAACUGAGACAAUUAAGAAGAAACUGAAGUCUUAUAUCUCUGUCUCAUUGAUGAUGUUGCUUCUGGUCCUCGUGAUAUAUUCCCUGUUUAAGGCAUGUUUUAGGAGGAAGGGAUUCAACGCUUACCUGCAACUACACUGGUGGAUCUAAUGGGAAUGUCAUCAGACCAGAUGAACCGUCUGUAGUUUUAACUGAAGGAAACAGCACCACUCUGUCCUGUUCAU